rnacentral:rRNA from 1 species
CUUACCUACGGGGCGCAGCAGUGAGGAAUAUUGGUCAAUGGCCGGAAGGCUGAACCAGCCAAGUCGCGUGAGGGAAUAAGGCCCUAUGGGUCGUAAACCUCUUUUGUCAGGGAGCAAAGGCGUCCACGUGUGGACGAGAGGAGAGUACCUGAAGAAAAAGCAUCGGCUAACUCCGUGCCAGCAGCCGCGGUAAUACGGAGGAUGCGAGCGUUAUCCGGAUUUAUUGGGUUUAAAGGGUGCGUAGACGGGAAAUUAAGUUAGUUGUGAAAUCCCUCGGCUCAACUGAGGAACUGCAACUAAAACUG